rnacentral:rRNA from 1 species
GACGAACGCUGGCGGCGUGCUUAACACAUGCAAGUCGAACGAAGUGGCGAACGGGUGAGUAACGCGUAAUCAACCUGCCCUUCAGAGGGGAACAACAGUUGGAAACGACUGCUAAUACCGCAUACUGAAGGAGGGGAUUGCGUCUGAUUGGCUAGUUGGAGGGGUAACGGCCCACCAAGGCGAUGAUCAGUAGCCGGUCUUGGAGGAUGAACGGGCAAAAUGGGACUGGGACACGGCCCCGACUUCUAAGGGAGGCAGCAGGGGGGGAUCUUCCGCAAAGGACGAAAGGCUGACGGAGCAAAGGCGCGGGGGUGAUGACGGCCUUCCGGUUGGAAAGCUCUGUUAAUCGGGACGCGGUACCGGGAUAGAAAGCCACGGCUAACUACGUGCCAGCAGCCGCGGUAAUUC